GAAUGGGCAAUAUUUCUCAUGAAAAAGUGGAUAAGUGUCCAUAAACAGCGCAGAUCAUAAUGAGCGAGCGUGUUUUUUAAAUAAAGUUUGAGGAAGCUUGAUGAUGACGUUGAUCCGCGACCGGUGCGCUGUAGUCCGUUUAUAGCAUACCGUUAGCAUUUUAUAUCUGACGGCUUUAUUUAGGCUUCAAAAUGUAUACAUUUUCGAUUAACUUAUAAAGAUUAUCUUGAUAGACAAAACGUGUAAGGUUCAUAACUCUUUGUUGAACACAGAUCUUAUUUUUUGCGAUUUUCCAAAAGUCUAUGGGAAAAAUGAAUGGCUUUUCGAUCGAGGGAACCCAUGCGCCGCUAACUUCCGGGUUGGCCUACAAAGUGACGUCAUGACUUCGGCACUCUAUACACACGAAACACACGUGAUUGUUGUCAUGUGGUGAAUCCGACCAAUCGUGAAACAGCUGUGUCGUCAUUACAGCCCGUGCAGCUCCUCUUCGCGAACUGCGCUGGCUUACUCAGGCGGCUGAUCUCGAACUUCUCUCGCGGUACUUAAAAACCAUAUGACACAAUCACGUGCCUGCAGCGCCAGCUGAAGUCGGACAAAAAUACUAACCGGAAUGCACUGCUUCAAGUCAGCCACCGAUCGGUCUGCGCAGCGCCGCAUGAAGUCGAACACACCUCACGUCUCCGUUUUCAGCUCCUCCCCGCCUGCACGCGGCUAAUCUCGCCGAUCGGUUACAUCCAGCUACAGCCGAUGUCGAACACACCUAGUAACAACACAAGCUUCGAAUCAAAGCUUCAUCUGGCACGCCCACUUUUGCUCGACAAAAGCUCCGAAGCCUCGCUUCAAAUAUGCUAGUUUGGUGAAAGUACACACUGAGUGCUUCAAAUCAUUCAGAAGAGAUGCUGUUUUUAAGGCAGUUUAUUAAAGAAGACCUGACAUGGAUGACUUCCAAUGAGAAACGACUGCUAAUACUUAUAUAAAUUCGUUACAGAAGGUACGUUUAUAUAUUUAUACAUGUAAAUCAUUUUAUUUGACAUAACUGAACAGUUAACCAAUCUUUUUAGUAUAGUUUUGUACAUAUUAUGGUUAUUAAUCUGGCAAGAAAGUCACAUGACCUGCUGCCAACUUUAAUAAAAAAUAUAUUAUCUUCUCAUACAUCGUUUUGCUAUUGAUAUCAUAUUAAAUAGCAAUUAAAUUGAUUACUAAUUUGGAAAUGUAUAAAUGAAGAUUCAUAUUGUCUUGAGUGCUGUUUUUAAUAUAAAAAGAAUGUUGAGUUUUCAGAGUCUUUAUUGUCAUUUUUUUGUGAUAGGACCCUACCAGGCUAUAUUUGAAUACGGCAUACCCAUGAAUUCUGAACUGUUAUUCCUUAACCCAGUUUGGAGGAUAACAGCUUACCAACUAGUUAUGCGAGUACACAGAGUACAUUAGUACUGUACACUGUCUCUAAUGAUUUGUUAUACUGAGAUGAUUUUGAUUCAAAUAACUGUUAAAACUGCACCCUUUUUGGUAUUUUCUUGACUCUUUUUGUCUUUGAAAAUCUGCAGAAAUAUGCUGAGGCGAUGUAUUGCCGAAUAGCCAACAUACAGGACACACAGGACAAACACAUCAUCAUCAUCUGAGACAACAUAGGGAUGAAACACACUUUUUUUUAGCAAAUUUUAGCAUCACACCCCUGCUGAAAAAACCAGCUAAAACCAGCUUAAGCUGGUCAAGCUGGUUUUAGCUGGUUUAAGAUGGAAAUAGCUGGUUUUAGCUGGUCUCCCAGCCUGGCCAGGCUGGUCAAGCUGGUCUCCCAGGCUGGUCAAGCUGGUCUCCCAGGCUGGCCAGGUUGGUCAAGCUGGUCUCCCAGCCUGGCCAGGCUGGUCAAGCUGGUCUCCCAGCCUGGUCAAGGUGGUCUCCCAGGCUGGCCAGGUUGGUCAAGCUGGUCUCCCAGGCUGGCCAGGCUGGUCAAGCUGGUCUCCCAGCCUGGUCAAGGUGGUCUCCCAGGCUGGCCAGGUUGGUCAAGCUGGUCUCCCAGCCUGGCCAGGCUGGUCAAGCUGGUCUCCCAGCCUGGUCAAGGUGGUCUCCCAGGCUGGCCAGGUUGGUCAAGCUGGUCUCCCAGCCUGGCCAGGCUGGUCAAGCUGGUCUCCCAGCCUGGUCAAGGUGGUCUCCCAGCCUGGCCAUGCUGGUCAAGCUGAUCUCCCAGGCUGGUCUGUUUUAUGACAUUUUAAUUUGUGAAUCCUUUAGAUAAAAAUGUAAAAACUCAUUUUAUGAAAAUACUUAUAUUUUUAAAAUUUAACAAAAGUAAUUGAUCAAGUUAAAAAUAUAUUAGACACAUGCAAAUAAAUCAUCUUUGUAUCUUUAUUUUUCCCUUUCAAAACAAGUGCCUUUUUGGUAAAUAUUUUUCUAGGUUGCUCAUAUUAUAUAAAGUUUAAGAAGCUACAAAUAUUUUAUGUUUACUAUUACAUUGAUUUUAACACUGGUGGGGCAUGUGAUUUCCAUGUGAUGAAUUCAGGAGAUGGAUUAGGCUAUUUUUGUAAGCAUUAUUAUGGUUGUUUUAUUUUUAGUAUAUUUUCAUCACAAUGUCUAAAAUAUAACGUUUGAAAUAUAAAUUUUAAGAAUACCAUUAAUAAUGUAAUAACAUCCAACCUUUUCUCGGCUUUCUUUAUACAGUGCCACAGACAGCUCCCUCAGCCUUUUGUAAGCAAAGCAUGCCCAUGCGGGCCCACUGUGGGGUUUACUGUGGGACAGUGUGGACAGGGCAAACUCACACCACAUUCCAAAUGGGCCCCACACAGGGCCCAUAUGGGCAGGGCGAGCAGGCUCCAUAUGACUUUUCCCUUUUAAGCCCCAUGGGGGUUUUUAGUGGGCAUGCCCACAGAAAACCCACACAUGCCCCAUAUUUUUUAGCUUGCCCCCAUUAGUUUGCCAUAGUAGGGCCUAAUAAUUUUUUAAAAUAUUUUAUUUUUAAAAUAAGUUAUUAUUAAAUUAUUAAAAUAAUUAUCAUUGGUUGUUAUUAUCUUAGCAGAUAAUUUUUUUAUGUUUAUUGUUGUUGUUAAAUCAAAAACCAGUUACUACACUUUUAUUAUAAUAAAAACAUUUCUUUUAUUUUUUUAUAAAGCUCUGUCCAUUUAGAACAAAAUGUGCAUGCCUGUUUAUGAAAUAAUUGAACCCACCCCCGGAUGAAGAUCUAAAAAGCUAUGUUUUAAAAGCACAACAUUUCUGUUAAUUUUAAUAGAAGAAAUAUUUAUUGUUAAACAAGUUCUAAUUUUCAGUUCCGUCUGGACGUGGGACAUCUUUUUUACCAUCUUUAUUGUUUUUUUAACAUGUUGUCUUUUGUUAUGUGUUAUUAGCUAUGGUUAUGAUUAGUCAUGUUCGACUUCAUGCUGCGCUGCGAGAACCGACAUCAUACGUUGAUGACGUCAAUGUAUCGCGAGAGCGAGUCAAGAAUUACACUCUCGCGGUACAUUGACGUUAUCAACCUGUCAGCGCAGCAAGAAGUCGAACACACGUAUUUGCGGGCGCGCGCCUCCGUCCUCGUGAGUUCAAAGUGGAUUUUAACCGUUUACCUCAGGCGACAGUUUUCAUUUAUAUGGCAAAUUCUAAGGUCAUUUUCUUGUUGUGUUUUGAUGUUUUCCAUUGGCUGAAGAAUUACCAUGCAAUUUGAAGAAGUGUGAUAAAAUACACAGAGGUGAAGUCAUGUGUCUUUCCAGAUGCCCAAUCUGUACCACUCAAAAAGUAAUGAAGUGACAGUGUACCAUGACAAAAAAUCUAAGAUGAGCCUGAAGAGGAGAUUUGGGAAGAUGCUGUUUAUAAGUCUUUGCUUUGCCAGAUCACCUGUGGUCGAGAUGUCUGCUAACAAGAUGCCUUGUUGGUCUGGACGAGUUUGAAGUCUCUCACAGACAGUCCAGAAGGUCUGGAGUCCAUCUUAGCUUUUAUUGAUGCUUUCAUCGGGUUUUAAGUACAGUAUGAGCCAGAAUGGAAGGGUGUUGGUGGCCAUAAGAAGACUGUGAGCUAAACCUACAACAAAAUUCAUAUUUGCAGUUUUCCUAUAAAUUUUUUUCUAUUCAGAUGAAUAAAAUGACUUUUAAAUAUUAUUUUGUUUUCAUAUUUUAUGUUUUUAUUCUGUAUUUGGAAUAUUCCACUUCCGCACUACUAACUGGAAACCUAACUGUUUGAAAGAAUUUGUUUUUAUCUAUAAAAGAUCAAUUUUAACAGCU